rnacentral:rRNA from 1 species
GGGCGUUAAGUUGCAGGGUAUAGACCCGAAACCCGGUGAUCUAGCCAUGGGCAGGUUGAAGGUUGGGUAACACUAACUGGAGGACCGAACCGACUAAUGUUGAAAAAUUAGCGGAUGACCUGUGGCUGGGGGUGAAAGGCCAAUCAAACCGGGAGAUAGCUGGUUCUCCCCGAAAGCUAUUUAGGUAGCGCCUCGUGAAUUCAUCUCCGGGGGUAGAGCACUGUUUCGGCUAGGGGGCCAUCCCGGCUUACCAACCCGAUGCAAACUGCGAAUACCGGAGAAUGUUAUCACGGGAGACACACGGCGGGUGCUAACGUCCGUCGUGAAGAGGGAAACAACCCAGACCGCCAGCUAAGGUCCCAAAGUCAUGGUUAAGUGGGAAACGAUGUGGGAAGGCCCAGACAGCCAGGAUGUUGGCUUAGAAGCAGCCAUCAUUUAAAGAAAGCGUAAUAGCUCACUGGUCGAGUCGGCCUGCGCGGAAGAUGUAACGGGGCUAAACCAUGCACCGAAGCUGCGGCAGCGACACUGUGUGUUGUUGGGUAGGGGAGCGUUCUGUAAGCCUGUGAAGGUGUGUCGUGAGGCAUGCUGGAGGUAUCAGAAGUGCGAAUGCUGACAUAAGUAACGAUAAAGCGGGUGAAAAGCCCGCUCGCCGGAAGACCAAGGGUUCCUGUCCAACGUUAAUCGGGGCAGGGUGAGUCGACCCCUAAGGCGAGGCCGAAAGGCGUAGUCGAUGGGAAACGGGUUAAUAUUCCCGUACUUGGUGUUACUGCGAAGGGGGGACGGAGAAGGCUAUGUUGGCCGGGCGACGGUUGUCCCGGUUUAAGCGUGUAGGUGUGUGUUCCAGGUAAAUCCGGUUCACUUUAACACUGAGGCGUGACGACGAGGCACUACGGUGCUGAAGCAACAAAUGCCCUGCUUCCAGGAAAAGCCUCUAAGCAUCAGGUAACAUCAAAUCGUACCCCAAACCGACACAGGUGGUCAGGUAGAGAAUACCAAGGCGCUUGAGAGAACUCGGGUGAAGGAACUAGGCAAAAUGGUGCCGUAACUUCGGGAGAAGGCACGCUGACACGUAGGUGAAGUGAUUUACUCAUGGAGCUGAAGUCAGUCGAAGAUACCAGCUGGCUGCAACUGUUUAUUAAAAACACAGCACUGUGCAAACACGAAAGUGGACGUAUACGGUGUGACGCCUGCCCGGUGCCGGAAGGUUAAUUGAUGGGGUCAGCGCAAGCGAAGCUCCUGAUCGAAGCCCCGGUAAACGGCGGCCGUAACUAUAACGGUCCUAAGGUAGCGAAAUUCCUUGUCGGGUAAGUUCCGACCUGCACGAAUGGCGUAAUGAUGGCCAGGCUGUCUCCACCCGAGACUCAGUGAAAUUGAACUCGCUGUGAAGAUGCAGUGUACCCGCGGCAAGACGGAAAGACCCCGUGAACCUUUACUAUAGCUUGACACUGAACAUUGAGCCUUGAUGUGUAGGAUAGGUGGGAGGCUUUGAAGUGUGGACGCCAGUCUGCAUGGAGCCGACCUUGAAAUACCACCCUUUAAUGUUUGAUGUUCUAACGUGGACCCGUUACCCGGGUUGCGGACAGUGUCUGGUGGGUAGUUUGACUGGGGCGGUCUCCUCCUAAAGAGUAACGGAGGAGCACGAAGGUUGGCUAAUCCUGGUCGGACAUCAGGAGGUUAGUGCAAUGGCAUAAGCCAGCUUGACUGCGAGCGUGACGGCGCGAGCAGGUGCGAAAGCAGGUCAUAGUGAUCCGGUGGUUCUGAAUGGAAGGGCCAUCGCUCAACGGAUAAAAGGUACUCCGGGGAUAACAGGCUGAUACCGCCCAAGAGUUCAUAUCGACGGCGGUGUUUGGCACCUCGAUGUCGGCUCAUCACAUCCUGGGGCUGAAGUAGGUCCCAAGGGUAUGGCUGUUCGCCAUUUAAAGUGGUACGCGAGCUGGGUUUAGAACGUCGUGAGACAGUUCGGUCCCUAUCUGCCGUGGGCGCUGGAGAACUGAGGGGGGCUGCUCCUAGUACGAGAGGACCGGAGUGGACGCAUCACUGGUGUUCGGGUUGUCAUGCCAAUGGCACUGCCCGGUAGCUAAAUGCGGAAGAGAUAAGUGCUGAAAGCAUCUAAGCACGAAACUUGCCCCGAGAUGAGUUCUCCCUGAGACUUUAGGUCUCCUGAAGGAACGUUGAAGACGACGACGUUGAUAGGCCGGGUGUGUAAGCGCAGCGAUGCGUUGAGCUAACCGGUACUAAUGAACCGUGAGGCUUAACCUUACAACGCCGAAG